CGGUAAUUCCAGCUCCAAUAGCGUAUAUUUAAGUUGUUGCAGUUAAAAAGCUCGUAGUUGGACUUUGGGACGGGUCGGUCGGUCCGCCUCGCGGUGUGCACCGGUCGUCCCAUCCCUUCUGUCGGCGAUGCGUGCCUGGCCUUAACUGGCCGGGUCGUGCCCCCGGCGCUGUUACUUUGAAGAAAUUAGAGUGCUCAAAGCAAGCCCACGCUCUGGAUACAUUAGCAUGGGAUAACAUCACAGGAUUUCGGUCCUAUUGUGUUGGCCUUCGGGAUCGGAGUAAUGAUUAAGAGGGACAGUCGGGGGCAUUCGUAUUUCAUAGUCAGAGGUGAAAUUCUUGGAUUUAUGAAAGACGAACCACUGCGAAAGCAUUUGCCAAGGAUGUUUUCAUUAAUCAAGAACGAAAGUUGGGGGCUCGAAGACGAUCAGAUACCGUCCUAGUCUCAACCAUAAACGAUGCCGACCAGGGAUCGGCGGAUGUUGCUCUUAGGACUCCGCCGGCACCUUAUGAGAAAUCAAAGUCUUUGGGUUUCCGGGGGGAGUAUGGU
rnacentral:rRNA from 1 species